rnacentral:rRNA from 1 species
UUUGCUCCGCGAGAGAGCGGCGGACGGGUGAGUAAUGCCUAGGAAUCUGCCUGGUAGUGGGGGACAACGUUUCGAAACGGACGCUAAUACCGCAUACGUCCUACGGGAGAAAGCAGGGGACCUUCGGGCCUUGCGCUAUCAGAUGAGCCUAGGUCGGAUUAGCUAGUUGGUGGGGUAAUGGCUCACCAAGGCGACGAUCCGUAACUGGUCUGAGAGGAUGAUCAGUCACACUGGAACUGAGACACGGUCCAGACUCCUACGGGAGGCAGCAGUGGGGAAUAUUGGACAAUGGGCGAAAGCCUGAUCCAGCCAUGCCGCGUGUGUGAAGAAGGUCUUCGGAUUGUAAAGCACUUUAAGUUGGGAGGAAGGGCUGUAAAUUAAUACCCUGCUGUUUUGACGUUACCGACAGAAUAAGCACCGGCUAACUCUGUGCCAGCCAGCCGCGGGAAUACAGAGGGUGCAAGCGUUAAUCGGAAUUACUGGGCGUAAAGCGCGCGUAGGUGGUUGUUAAGUUGGAUGUGAAAUCCCCCGGCUCAACCUGGGAACUGCAUUCAAAACUGACUGACUAAGUACGGCAGAGGGUGCUGGAAUUUCCUGUGUAGCGGGUGAAAUGC